CCUACGGGAGGCAGCAGUGGGGAAUAUUGGACAAUGGGCGAAAGCCUGAUCCAGCCAUGCCGCGUGUGUGAAGAAGGCCUUCGGGUUGUAAAGCACUUUCAGUGGGGAAGAAAGCCUUGGGGCUAAUACCCUCGAGGAAGGACAUCACCCACAGAAGAAGCACCGGCUAACUCCGUGCCAGCAGCCGCGGUAAUACGGAGGGUGCGAGCGUUAAUCGGAAUUACUGGGCGUAAAGCGCGCGUAGGCGGUCUGAUAAGCCGGUUGUGAAAGCCCCGGGCUCAACCUGGGAACGGCAUCCGGAACUGUCAGGCUAGAGUGCAGGAGAGGAAGGUAGAAUUCCCGGUGUAGCGGUGAAAUGCGUAGAGGUCGGGAGGAAUACCAGUGGCGAAGGCGGCCUUCUGGACUGACACUGACGCUGAGGUGCGAAAGCGUGGGUAGCAAACAGGAUUAGAUACCCUGGUAGUC
rnacentral:rRNA from 1 species